AACUGCUUUCCUCUCAAUCUGAUCAUCGUUACUCCCUUCAAUAACACCAACAUAUCGCGCUGGUGUAGGAGUUUGUCCAGCUUUGUCAUGACUGUCACAUGUGUUAAAAAAGAUGUAGGAUCGUACAACUGUAAACAUGCUUGUAAAGAGCCAAAAACUAAAUUGACCUGCUACAGUAAAAAGGAAAAUCCUACAGAAUUGGUUGAGUAAAAUUUUAGUUUCUGGCA
rnacentral:lncRNA from 1 species